UCUGUGAACUCCUACGGGAGGCAGCAGUGGGGAAUAUUGGACAAUGGGCGCAAGCCUGAUCCAGCAAUGCCGCGUGAGUGAUGAAGGCCUUAGGGUUGUAAAGCUCUUUUACCCGGGAAGAUAAUGACUGUACCGGGAGAAUAAGCCCCGGCUAACUCCGUGCCAGCAGCCGCGGUAAUACGGAGGGGGCUAGCGUUGUUCGGAAUUACUGGGCGUAAAGCGCACGUAGGCGGCUUUGUAAGUCAGGGGUGAAAGCCUGGAGCUCAACUCCAGAACUGCCUUUGAGACUGCAUCGCUUGAAUCCGGGAGAGGUGAGUGGAAUUCCGAGUGUAGAGGUGAAAUUCGUAGAUAUUCGGAAGAACACCAGUGGCGAAGGCGGCUCACUGGACCGGUAUUGACGCUGAGGUGCGAAAGCGUGGGGAGCAAACAGGAUUAGAUACCCGAGUAGUCCAUCAGCG
rnacentral:rRNA from 1 species